AAGUCAGAUGUGAAAGCCUUCUGUUCAACGGAAGAAUUGCAUCUGAAACUGCGAGUCUUGAGUGUAGGAGGGGAGAAUGGAACUUCUGGCGGAGCGGUGAAAUGCGUAGAUAUCAGAAGGAACGCCGGCGGCGAAAGCGAUUCUCUGGCCUAUUACUGACACUCAGUGCGCGAAAGCUAGGGGAGCAAACGGGAUUAGAUACCCCGGUAGUCCUAGCCGUAAACGAUGGGCACUAAGUAGAGGGAAUUACCGAUAUUCUCUCUGCCGUAGCUAACGCAUUAAGUGCCCCGCCUGGGGAGUACGGCCGCAAGGCUAAAACUCAAAAGAAUUGACGGGGGCUCGCACAAGCGGUGGAGCAUGUGGCUUAAUUCGAUGCAACGCGAAAAACCUUACCGGGGCUUGACAUGAUAGAAGUAGGAACCCGAAAGGGUAACGAACGGUAUCCAGUCCGUAGCUAUUACAGGUGUUGCAUGGCUGUCGUCAGCUCGUGUCGUGAGACGUUGGGUUAAGUCCCCUAACGAGCGAAACCCUUGUUUUUAGUUGCCAGCGGGUUGUGCCGGGCACUCUAGAAAGACUGCCGUCGUCAAGACGGAGGAAGGUGGGGACGACGUCAAGUCAUCAUGGCCCUUAUGCCCCGGGCUGCACACGUACUACAAUGGUCGGUACAAACGGAAGCGGAG
rnacentral:rRNA from 1 species